AUUGAACGCUGGCGGCAGGCCUAACACAUGCAAGUCGAACGGUAGCACAGAGAGCUUGCUCUCGGGUGACGAGUGGCGGACGGGUGAGUAACGUCUGGGAAACUGCCCGAUGGAGGGGGAUAACUACUGGAAACGGUAGCUAAUACCGCAUAACGUCGCAAGACCAAAGUGGGGGACCUUCGGGCCUCACACCAUCGGAUGUGCCCAAGUGGGAUUAGCUAGUAGUUGGGGUAAUGGCGCACCUAGGCGACGAUCCCUAGCUGGUCUGCGAGGAUGACCAGCCACACUGGAACUGAAACACGGUCCAGACUCCUGCGGGAGGCAGCAGUGGGGAAUUUUGCGCAAUGGGCGCAAGCCUGAUGCAGCCAUGCCGCGUGUAUGAAGAAGGCCUUCGGGUUGUAAAGUACUUUCAGCGGGGAGGAAGGCGGUGAAGUUAAUAGCUUCACCGAUUGACGUUACCCGCAGAAGAAGCACCGGCUAACUCCGUGCCAGCAGCCGCCGUAA
rnacentral:rRNA from 1 species